rnacentral:rRNA from 1 species
GAUGAACGCUGGCGGCGUGCUUAACACAUGCAAGUCGAACGGGAUCCAAGGGGUGCUUGCACUUUUUGGUGAGAGUGGCGAACGGGUGAGUAACACGUGAGUAACCUGCCCUUUUCUUUGGGAUAAGCAUUCGAAAGGGUGUUUAAUACCUUAUGUUCUGUCUGCCUCGCAUGGGGUGGGUGGGAAAGGCUUUGGCCGGAUUUGGGUGGGCUCGCGGUCUAUCAGCUUGUUGGUGGGGUGAUGGCUUACCAAGGCUUUGACGGGUAGCCGGCCUGAGAGGGUGGUCGGUCACAUUGGGACUGAGAUACGGCCCAGACUCCUGCGGGAGGCAGCAGUGGGGGAAAUUGCACAAUGGGCGAAAGCCUGAUGCAGCGACGCCGCGUGGGGGAUGAAGGCCUUCGGGUUGUAAACUUCUUUUGCUCUGAACAAGGCAUGCCAGUGGGUGUGUUGAGUGUAGGGGUUGAUUAGCGCCGGCUAACUACGUG